UGGGUUCUGGUCGAUCGAACAAGAGAGCAGGGAAAGGGGUGAAACCCUAACUUCAAGAAAUCAAGAAUUGAACUUGAAUCAAAGGAGAAAUCUAAUGCAUGAAGCCCUAAAUGCGUGCAUAAAGGAAGAAGGUUCCAGCACUAAGAAAUCGGAAAGCUCUCAAGAUCGAGGUAAAUCCUCAAUUUAGGCGACUUAGCAAAUUGGAGCGAGCACGUGUUCAUGUCAUGUCAUACCAAGCGCUUCCGCUAGUUGUACUAAUGUUUUUGGUCUUGCAUAACCUUGUUAGUAGUCAUACUUUUCAAAACUCGUGUCUAGUCGAACGGGUCGUAGAUAUUAUCGUUUGAAUGUUGUAUAAAACAGGGAUCCACUCGUCUUACGGACGGGUCAUGCCCAAAUUUUGUUAAAAAUGUUACUAGUGUUAGUAUUGAAAUCUUUAAAUCGAGCAAAGUUG
rnacentral:lncRNA from 1 species